rnacentral:misc_RNA from 1 species
AGAAAAAUUUGAAGAAGAAACUAAAAGUUAAUGAUUUCCGAAAUUCAACCAUCCCACCAGGUGCAUCUUCUUUCAGCACAAUUUCCUUCUCCAAAAUUUUCAAAGAAUCCUGUAGCAGCUCUUUAUUCCAACUUUUUCCGAUUAAGAAGUCACUAGUUUUUGAUGCAGCAAAUGAAAGUGGAGCAACCCCACCAUAUACAAUCAAAGCAUCUGAAACUACCCAUUUCUUGUCCUUCUCUUCAAGGCAGACACGCAUCCCAGCAUUGACGAUGGCAAUAUCAUCAUCUCUCCUAUGA